rnacentral:tRNA from 1 species
GGCGGCGUAGCUCAAUAGGCAGAGCCCCCGGCUCAUAACCGGAGUGUUACAGGUUCGAGUCCUGUCGCCGCCACCA